UACGGAGGGGACUAGCGUUGUUCGGAAUGACUGGGCGUAAAGCGCGCGUAGGCGGGCUGGAAAGUCAGGGGUGAAAUCCUGGAGCUCAACUCCAGAACUGCCUUUGAUACUGAAGAUCUUGAGUUCGGGAGAGGUGAGUGGAACUGCGAGUGUAGAGGUGAAAUUCGUAGAUAUUCGCAAGAACACCAGUGGCGAAGGCGGCUCACUGGCCCGAUACUGACGCUGAGGCACGAAAGCGUGGGGAGCAAACAGG
rnacentral:rRNA from 1 species